rnacentral:lncRNA from 1 species
AAAUUUAGAUAAAUGAACUGGGUGGAAUCUUCUUCUUAAAGUUUUCCUUUUUAUUUGCGGACUGAUACUGAUUGCUGGCUUUUAUCAGAUUCUGGAUUUAGUAUUACAGACAUGUGGAAGACAACAGGUAUCCUUUUUAAGUUAUUGCUCAUUUCAUCCUUUCUGACCAGUUUCAAACGUCACUUGGAACUCAGCUCAAAUUUUAGCAGGGGUAGAAUGGGAUGGAAUCAGCGAGUUUAGUACAGAUGACAUUGUUACGGUUAGUGCUAGCACACCUUAGCUGCAGGUUCCAUCUGGUGUUAUGGGGACUGGUACACUGUAAUCUAGAGAUAGAAGAUUCGUUUGUUGGUGGGGACAAUCAGGUUCCAUCAAGAUCCCCAACAUCACUGCCACAAAGAUCAAGCUUGGUAACAAUCUGAUGAUCGAUGGUUUUGGUGGUGAGGAUAUUUGCAAGAGCAGUAUCGAUUGCCAGAAGGAACAGCUGCAGUUACUGUGUACAGUAUAAUAGUAAAUCUUGGUGUAUUAUUGUUCAUGCCUGAUAUUGAGUGAGUCCUCACUUAUUAGUUCAUAGGUUUCAGAUAUGGUUGUUGGCUUCUGCCAAGUGACUGCAUCAUAUAUACACCACUGAUCUUGAGUCCAAUCUUGUUUGAAGAGUUUAGAGAACAAAAUCUCUUGGGUUGUGUGCAUUCUAUGUAUAGAGACUAGAAAGAGCUCUUGGACCUGUCCUUCAACGGUCCAUCUUUCUGGAGGACACAAGGAAGUGUGUGCGUCAAACAUGCAUGCAAACGGUUGUAUCCUGUUAGGUUGCAACUAUGAGUGCAUUUGAUCACUGUAUUUAAACUAUGUUAUUGGUUUCCAUACAAUUUGCUCCUACAUUUUACCAAUAUGAUGCAAGACCCUUUGCAGUCCAUUCACCUCGGUGAUAAAAUUUCAAUGUCUGAGAUUCAUUGCCUCAUUAAACUAUAGGUAGAUGCUUUAUCAUGAAAAUCUAUCUGCAUCAUGGCUAUUUGCAGGUAACCAAACUGGUCUUGGAUACUUGUUCAGCAAGGCAGAGACUCCAUCAAGCAUAUCUUCUACGUCAUGGCUAGGUAACCAAACUUGUCUUAGACCUUGUUCAGCAAAUUAAUCAUUGUUUAAUUGUUAAUCAUUUGUGCAACUGAGGUAUCUGAGAGGUCUAAAUAAUUACUAGUGCUAGAAUUCAUGAAGCUAAUUCCAUACAAAAUGAAUGAUGUCAAUGUUCUUUGACUAGUCUUGAGUAGUAGCUGAGUGGCCAAGAAUAAACACAGCCGAGUAUGACUAAUCGAAAUGAUUAGUUCUUAGUGUUUGGCUCUGGCUAGCGUAUUUAGUUUCGGUUGAUGGUGCCGAAAACAUCUGGAGCUGUGGUCCAUAGAAGAACCACAUUUGUAAUUCUUAUCACAUAAUUUUCUGGUGCAUUCUAAGUUGGAUGAAAGUUUCAGGGUGAUGUAUAGAUAGCUGGUUUUUGAAGAUGUCCCUGGGGUGCAGUUAGUAUACCUGCAGAGUCAGAGUGCACCCAUGUUUUCGCCCUAAUGGAUUGAAGACGGCGACAGCAACAAUAAGCUACUGUUCCCAACUGUUCAUAUCUGCUUCACAAAUACUUUCUCAUUAGCCAACUCUGUCAAGGACAAAAGUCACUACUUUUCGGUUCCCUUUUUGGAGGCUUCAGGUAUCUGAACUUUUUACACUCAGCUUACUGUGGUCUUUUGUUUCCUGUUCACAGUUUCUCUAAAAGAAACUGUGAUUUCUUUGUGGCCUUCUGAACUCUGGUACAUCAGUCCAAUCAACUCGAAUGUUAGAAACCUCAAGACCUAAUUUGUCUAGCUUGGAUACUCAAUGCUAAAUAGAUAGGUGAGCAGUAAAUAUUCCCCAUGAAUAAUGCAGGCGCCCUGUUCUGACAUGGUCCUAAAGAAAUCACGAGAGACAGCAGUGGGAAACCCGUGGUGGUCACAGACCUCAUGACUGACGAGAAGCGAGAGGUUGAAACCCAUGGCAGUGACCAUCAAUGGACCACCUUUUGGCUUUACCAAGAACCCUGUGAGCUUGAUGAAACAUAGGUACUUUCACGCAAAUGCCUGUUCCCUUUUAUAAAUGUCCAUGCGUUAUAUCAAUCUUUAAGAUAAGUAGUUUCUGGACAAAUGGCUUUGACUUCAUAUUCCUAUCUUCUGAACUAAUCUCAUACGAUAAUAAGUGUACAAAACAAAAGUCCACAUGCUAAUCACUUACAGCAGUUGCAGAGGUGAAGAUUGUAGAGCAUGAUGAUGUUGG